GCCGGGUCCGGCCCGCUUCCGGCGCGGUCUCCGGAACUAGUUUGACUCUCCGGCGGCCGCCGUAGUGCGUUUCCUCCGUUGCCGUGGGAAACGACCCCAGACCUGGAAGGGAGAGUGCAACGACGUUUCCCGCCGGCGGGAGUUGCGAUUGUGGUGGCGUGAGGGCCUCCGCAGGCGGCGGGGCGCAGAGCUUCUGCGCUAUGGCGGACCAGCUUUAUCUGGAAAAUAUAGACGAAUUCGUCAUGGACCAAAACAAGAUUGUGACAUACAAAUGGCUGAGCUAUACACUAGGAGUUCAUGUUAACCAGGCCAAACAGAUGUUGUACGAUUAUGUUGAAAGGAAGCGAAAGGAAAAUUCAGGAGCCCAACUGCACGUCACCUAUUUGGUGUCCGGCAGUCUCAUUCAGAAUGGAUAUUCCUGCCACAAGGUUGCGGUAGUGAGAGAAGAUAAGUUGGAAGCUGUGAAGUCCAAGCUAGCUGUGACUGCCAGCAUCCAUGUCUACAGCAUCCAGAAAGCCAUGCUAAAGGACAGUGGGCCUCUGUUCAAUACUGACUAUGACAUCCUUAAAAGCAACUUGCAGAACUGCAGCAAAUUUAGUGCCAUACAAUGUGCAGCUGCAGUCCCUAGAGCUCCCACUGAGUUCUCAUCUUUGGAAAAGCUUGAGCAGCCAAAUCUUCAGGCAUCAAAUGAGACAGAAGCCAAUAACGGGUUGACCACCAAUGGUCAUGGCCCACCUGCCUCCAAGCAGGUCUCCCAGCAGCCCAAAGGAAUUAUGGGAAUGUUUGCCACCAAAGCUGCUUUUAAAACUCAAGACUCUAACAAGGAAAGCAAAACAGAGGCUAAAGAGGCAUCUUCGGCAGGCAGCAAGGCCCCAGGGAAAGGGAAUGUGAUGAGCAAUUUUUUUGGAAAGGCUGUUGUGAAUAAACUUAAGGUCAAUUUGGAUUCAGAACAAGCAGUGAAAGAAGAGAAAAUAGUGGAGCAACCUCCAGUGCCUGUCACUGAACCAAAGCUGGCAGCACCUGAAGGCCUGAAGAAAUCUAGCAAAAAAGCAGAGCCUGUUAAGAUGCAGCAGCAGGAAAAAAAAAGGGGGAAGCGAGUGGAGUUACCUGAUGAUGAGACAAAAGAAACUGAAACCGUAAAGAAAAAGAGGAGACGAAUCAAGCUUCCUGAGUCUGAUAGCAGUGAAGAUGAAGACAUACCAGACUCUCCUAGGACUUAUGAAGCUGAGUCACCAUCCCCACCUUCUCCAGCUUCUCUGCUUCCUGAACCAGUGCCAGAGACUGAGCCAGAGCCUCCUUCCACCAAGGGCUCGAGUGGAGAAAACAAGAGAAAACGAAAGCGCGUACUGAAAUCUAAAACCUAUGUGGAUGAGGAAGGCUGCAUAGUGACUGAGAAGGUCUACGAGAGUGAGUCCUGCACAGAUAGUGAAGAGGAAUUUAAGAUGAAGACAUCCUCUGUGCACAGACCUCCUGCCUUGACUGUGAAGAAAGAACCCAAAGAGGAACGAAAGGGCCCCAAGAAAGGGACUGUUGCUCUGGGCAAAGCCAACAGACAAGCAUCCAUUACCGGCUUCUUCCAGAGGAAAUAAACUGUCAUCUCUGUUAGGUCAGAGACUUGGAAUGGUCAAGGGAGAAGACCAAGAGAUAGAGACUUUCUCACUUACUGUGCAACACAUCGGAAUUUCAAAACUGAUGUUAUAACCAAGUGAAACAGGAGUGCUAAUGGAACCAGUGUCUCAGUGGGUAUCCUUGUGAUUCUGCUCACCUCUCAAAUCCAUGACUCCACUUUGAUUCACCAGCACCACUACCUUUCAGAACUUGAGCUAGCAGCUUACGUGCCGAUCUUGGAAUUCAUCAAUCUUCACAGCCUGUGAGCAAGAGUCCUGUUCUCCAACCUACUGAUCUUGGGAUCUCCAGCCCCUGCAGCUACAUGAAUUAGGAGAAGCCUGUGGCCUUGCCUGCUGAUCUUGGGAUUCAUCAACCUUCACAGCCUGGAGCAAGAGCCCUGCUCACCGACCUGCUGAUCUUGGGUUUGCCAGCCCCUGUGGCUACGUGAAUCAGGAGAAACAUCAAUCCUGAUCCGUGCACUUGGGAUGUUCCAGCCUCUACAAUUGUGUGAGCUGUUUCCUUGAUAUAAAUCUCUCUCUAUGUAUAUGUUUAUAUGCUUUACUGAUUUUGCUUCUCUAAAAAAAAUUUUUUUUUUUUUUUAGAGAACCCAGCCUAAGACAGAAUCCUUAGGAAUCCACUAAAAAACUAUUAGACCUAAUAAACAAGUUCAGCAGAAUUACAGGCUAUAACUCAAUGAUGAGAGCCCCGGUGAUGCAGUGGUUAAAGUGCUCGGCUGAUAACCGAAAGUUAGUGGUUUGAACCCAUCACCUGCUCCACAGGAGAAAGAUGUGGUAGUCUCCUGUAAAGAUUUACAGCUUUGGAACCCCUGUGGGGCAGUUCUACUCAUCCUAUAGGGUCACUCUGAGUUGGAAUCAACUCAAUGGCAAUGGGCUUUCUUUUAAGCUCAGUAUACAAAAAUAAACUACAUUUCUGCACACUAGCAAUGAACAAGCUGAAAUGAAAUUAGAAAAUAAUUCCAUUUACAAUAGUAUCAAAAAGUAUAACAAUCUGAAGAAAUUUAACAAAAGAAAUGUAAAACUAAUACUCUGAAAGUGAUAAAACAUUGUUGAAAGAAAUUAAAGAAGACCUAAAAAUGGAAGGGCAUCCUAUGUUCAUGGAUCAGAAAACUUAUUAUUCAGAUGACAGUACUUUCCAAAUUGAUCUACAGAUUCAGUAUAAUAUCUAUCCAAAUCCCAGCUGGCUCUCUUGCAGAAAUUGACAAGCCGAUCCUACAAUUCACAUGGAAAUGCAAGGGCCCAAGAAUAGCCAAAACAAUCCUAGAAAAGAACAAAGUUGAAGGACUCAAACUUUGAUAUCAAAACUUACUACAAAGCUACAGUAAUCAAGAUAGUAUCAUACUGCAUGAGGAUAGACAUAUAGAUCAGUAGAACAGAAUUAUAGUCCAGAAAUAAACUUCUGCAUUUAUGGCCAAUUGAUGUUCAACAAGGGUUCCGAGAAAAUUCAAUAGGCAAAGAAUAGUCUUUUCAACAAAUGAUGCUGAAACAACUGGCUAUCCACAUGCAAAAGAAUGAAAAACUUCCUUACAUCAUACACAAACAUUAACUCAAAAUGGGUUACAGGCAUAAAUAUAAGAGCUAAAACUAUAAACUCAUAGAAGAAAAUAAGAAUAAAUCUUCAUGACCUUGGGUUAGGCAAAACCUUCUUAGACACAACACCAAAAGCAUAAAUGACAAAAAAAAAAAAAAAAAACUGGGCUUCAAAGAACACCAUCAAAAAAUGGAUAGCCAACCCAGAGAAUGGGAGAAAAUAUUUGCAAAUCACAUAUCUGAUAAGGACUUGUAUCCAAAAUAUAUAAAGAACUCUUAAAACUCAACAAUAAAAAGACAGCUCCAACAGAUACAUGAGGAAAUGCUCAUGAUCAUUAGCCAUUAGAGAAAUGCAAAUCAAAACUACAAUGAGAUUUCAUCUCACUCCAACAGCUCCAACAAGGCUAGGAUUAAUCCAAAAAACACAAAAUAAUAAAUAUUGGAGAGGCUGUGGAGAGGUUGGAACACUUAUACACUGCUGGUGGGAAUGUAGAAUGGUACAACCACUUUGGAAAUCGAUUUGGCACUUCCUUAAGAAGCUGGAAAUGGAACUACCAUACGAUCCAGCAAUCCCACUCCUCGGAAUAUAUCCUAGAGAAAUAAGAACCUUUACAGGAACAGAUAUAUGCACACCCAUAUUUAUUGCGGCGCUGUUUAUAAUAGCAAAGAGGUGGAAGCAACCAAGGUGCCUAUCAAUGGAUGAAUGGAUAAAUAAUGGUAUAUUCACACAGUGGAAUACUACGCAUCGAUGAAUCUGUGAAACAUUUCAUAACGUGGAGGAAUCUGGAACGCGUCAUGCUGAGUGAAAUUAGUUGCAAAAGGACAAAUAUUGUGUAAGACCACUAUUAUAAGAACUUGAGAAAUAGUUUAAACUGAGAAGAAAACAUUCUUUUGUGGUUGUGAGAGGGGGGACGGAGGGUGGGUGGGAGAGGGGUAUUCACGAAUUAGGUAGUAUGUAAGAACUACUUUCGGUGAAGAGAAAGACAAUACACAAUACAGGGAAGUCAGCACAACUGGACUAAACCAAAAACAAAAAAGUUUCCUGAAUAAACUGAAUGCUUCGAAGGCCAGCAUAGCAGGGGCAGGGGUUUGGGGACCAUGGUUUCAGGGGACAUCUAAGUCAAUUGGCAUAGUAAAAUCUAUUAAGAAAACAUUCUGCAUCCCACUUUGAAGAGUGGGGUCUGAGGUCUUAAACACUAGCAAAUGGCCAUCUAAGAUGCAUCAAUGAGUCUGAACCCACCUGGAUCAAAGGAGAAUGAAGAACACCAAGAAUACAAGGUAAUUAUGAGCCCUAGAGACGGAAAACCGCAUAAACCAGAGACUACAUCAUCCUGAGACCAGAAGAACUAGAUGGUGCACGGCUACAACCGAUGACUGCCCUGACAGGGAACACAACAGAGAACCCCUGAGGGAGCAGGAGAGCAGUGGGAUGCAGACUCCAAAAUCUCAUAAAAAGACCAGACUUAAUGGUCUGACUGAGACUAGAAGGACCCCAGUGGUCAUGGCCCCCAGACCUUCUGUUGGCCCAGGAUGGGGACCAUUCCCGAAGCCAACUCCUCAGACAUGGAUUGGACUGGACAAUGGGUUGGAGAGGGAUGCUGAUGAGGAGUGAGCUUCUUGGAUCAGGUGGACACUUGAGACUAUGUUGGCAUCUCCUGCCUGGAGGGGAGAUGAGAAGGUAGAGAGGUUAGAAGCUGGUGAAAUGGACAUGAAAAGAGAGGGUAGAGGGAGGGAGCAGGCUGUGUCAUUAGGGGGAGAGUAAUUGGGAGUAUGUAGCAAGGUGUAUAUAAGUUUUUGUGUGAGAGACUCUCUUGAUUUGUAAACUUUCACUUAAAGCGCAAUAAAAAUUAUAAAAAAAAGACAGCUCCUGGGUCUUAAAUGCUAGCAAGCGGCCACAUAAGAUGCAACAGUUGGUCUCAAGCCACCUGGAGCAAAGGAGAAUGAGGAUUACCAAAGGUACAUGGUAAGUAUGAGCCUAAGAGUCAGAAUGGCCCACAUAAAUCAAAGACUACAUCAUCCUGAGACCAGAAGAAUUAGAUGGUGCCCAGCUACAACCGAAGACUGCCAUGAGAGGGAGCACAACAGAGAAUCUCUGAGGGAGCAGGAGAACAGUGGGAUGCAAACCCCGAAUUCUAUUAAAAAGACCAGACGUAAUGGUCUGACUGAGACCAGAGAGAUCUCGGAGGUCAUGAUCCCCAGACCUUCUCUUAGCCCAAGACAGGAACUAUUCCCGAAGCCAACUCUCCAGACGAGGAUUGGACUGGACUACAAGACAGAAAAUACUGGUGAGGAGUGGGCUUCUUAGAUCAAGUAGACACAUGAGACUAUCUGGGCAGCUCCUGUCUGGAGGGGAGAUACGAAGGCUGAAGGGGACAGAAGCUGGCUGAAUGGACAUGGAAACACAGGGUGGAGGGAAGGAAUGUGCUGUCUCAUUAGGGGGAGAGCAACUAGGAGUACAUAGCAAGGUGUAUAUAAGGUUUUGUAUGAAAGACUGACUUGAUGUGUAAACGUUCACUUAAAAUAAAAAGAAAAAAUAACACAAAAAUAAAUAAAAAGACAGCUCGACUGAAAAAUGGCAAAGGAUCUGAACAGACAUUCUCCAAGGAAGAAAUACGAACAAGAUAUACAAAUGGCCAAUAAGCACAUGAAAAGAUGCUCAACAUCAUCGGUGCUCAGGGAAAUGCAAAUCAAAACCACAGAGAGAAACCACUUCGUACCCACUAGGGUGGCUACAGUCAAAAAGACAGAUAAUAACAAAGUGUUGGCCAGGUUGUGAAGAAGUUGGAACCCUCAUAUGUUGCUGGUCGGAAUGUAAAAUGGUGCAGCUGCUUCGGAUAACUGUUGGGCAGUUUCUCAAAAUGUUAAACAUGGAGUUACCAUAUGAGCCAGCAGUUUGAGAAAUAAAAACAUACAUCCACACAAAAACUUGUACACAAAUGGUUGUAGCAGUGUUAUUCAUAGUAGCCAAAACAAGGAAACAACCCAAGUGUCCACCAACUGAUAAAUAAAUGUGGUAUGUCCAUAGAAUGGCACAUUAUUCGGUCAUAAAAAGGGAUGAAGUACUGAUACGUGCUACAACAUAGGUGAGCCCUGAAAACAUUAUGUUAAGUAAAAGAAGAUAGUUACAAAAAACCUUAUUGUGAUUCCAUUUAUAUGAAAUAUCCAAAAUAGGUAAGUCUAUAGAGACAGAGUAAAUUAGUGGUUGUCUAGAGUUGUAGACCUGAGUUCAGGGGAAAUGGGGAGUGACUGCUGAUGAGUACAGGGUUUCUUUAUAGGUUGAUGAAAAUGUUCUAAAAUUGAUUGUGGUGAUGGUUACACAACUCUGUGAAUAUAAUAAAAGCCAUUGAGUUGUACACUUUAAAUGGGUGAAUUGUAUGGUGUAUUGGUGUCCUAGGACUGCUGUAACAAAUUACCACAAACUGGGUGGCCUAAAACAACAAAAUUUAUUCUCUCACAGUUCUGGAGGCUAGAAGUCCAAAAUCAAGGUGUCAGCAGGGCCAUGUUGUCUCUGAAGGCUCUAGGGGAAAAUUUGUUCCAUGCCUUUCUUUUAGCACCUGGUGUUGCCAGCAAUCCUUGGUGUUCCUUGGCUUGUAGACCUAUCACUCCAGUCUGCCCCUGUUGUCACAUGGCAUUCUCCCUGUGUGUCUGUCUCUGUGUCUCUUCUUAUAAGGACAGCAGCCAUAUUGGAUUAGGGCCCACCUUAAUGACCUCAUUUUAACUUGAUUACAUCUGCAAAGACCCUAUUUUCAAAUAAAGUCACACAGAUACCAGGAAUGGUGUCUUUUGGGGAGACACAAUUCAACCCAUAACAUACAGUAUGUGAAUUAUAUCUCAAGGUGUUAAAAACAAAAAAAGAUAGCUUGAAAAAAAGGAAUGAGCUACUAAUACAUACAACAAUUUAGAUGAAUCUCAAAAACAUUAAGCUGAACAAAAGCCACAUACAAAAGAGUACAUGCUGAAUAAUUCCAUUUAUAUCGUCUGUUCUAGAACAGGCAGAACAAAAUCAUGGUGUAAAAAAAUCAGAACAGUGGUUGCCUGAGGAUGGUGAGGUUGACUCAGGAGGAACAUGGGCAGCUAGUGGGUGAUCACAUGUUCUAUAUCUUACUAGGGUUGUGGGUUAGUUAUACCAGGUGUAUGGAAACUGUACACUUAAGAUCUGUGCAUUUCACUGUAUCUAAAUCAUACCUCAGUUUCUUAAAAAUUAAAAAGAGAAAUUGAAGGGUUAAGAAAACAAAAAUGAUAGAGCUGGGAUCCAGUUUAGACCAUGUGGCUUCAAAACCUAAGCACUUUAAACAUUUUGGACCCUCUUUUGGGUUUUUAACAAGGAAUGUCAACAUUUGGUAUCAAUUUCCACUAUAUUUGUUCUUGAUUUAACAAAUAUUUGGAGGAGGCCCACCCUAUACAACUUAGUGCUAGGUUGGAGAUUUGAAAACCCAAAUCCUAAGGAGCCAGCAGGUGAUCUUGAUAUGAAGAAGCCAAAACGAGAUAAACGGGAGUAGUGGGAAAUGACAUCAGGAGGGUAUGUGCCUUGGUGUAUAUAACAAGCUCUGUAUCAUCCAUGCUUGUGUUUGCCCAGAGCACCUCUGGAGAGAUGUGCAAGAAACAGGGGGUAUAGAUUGCCUCUGGGGAGAGGAACUGAGUGGCUGGGAAUGAGGUGGAGACUCGUUUUUCUCUGCCACCUGUUUGUGCCCUUCAGUUUUGAAUCAUGUGCCUUCUAGAAAGUAAAUUUUUUUUAAAAAAUUGUGUGGAUCAAACAAAACCAAUCAGCAACUGCUGACCUUUGUGCCUGGCACUGGAGAGAAGUCAACGAGGAAAAAGGUACUGAUGUGCAGUGUAAGCCAGCAAUGAGACACAGAGUAAACUGCACAGGUACACCAUACACUCAGAAUUUGCUAAAUGAAUAAAUGAACUAGUUGGUAAGUAAAAUGCCUCACAUAUAUACAGUAGGCCUUCAGAAUAUUAACCUCCUUCCAACAUUCCCCAAGAUUCCAAGACAGUUGUUGUGAUCCAGGUGUGUACACGGAUGGAAAUGGAGAAGGAAGCACAAGAGAGAUUUCGAAGGUGGAACUGACAGCAUUUGGUCCGUUUGGCCAGUUGGCUGAUUUAGAAGGUGAAGGAGAAAUAAGACCAAAGUACUGCUGAGUGCUCUAAGCUGGGUGAGUGAGUGGCAGGCAGGAACAUUAGAGAGGCCCGGAGCAGUCAGGAGGGAGAAGGGGCCUGUGGGGGACAAGGGGAGAUAGGGUGGGUUUUUGUUUUGUUCAUAUGCCAUUUUGUUAGCUGAUGGCCGGACAUUCAGUUUCAUUCAAUAAACAUUUUGGAGCACUAAGUGGAAGUGUCCAGCCUGUAGUUGGAAAGUCAGGGUAGGGUCUGAGGGAGAUUUCAGGCCCAGAAGAAAGCACAGAUUUAGGAGUCAUUGGCCUUGAGAUGAUAGCUACAGGUGAUAGUUAAGUUCCCUGAAAAAAAAAAAAAAAACCAAACCCGUUGCUGAAAGUUGAUUCCUACUCACUAAGGGGAAAAAAAAUCAGAAACAAAAAAGAACAAAGGUGGGUGUCAGAGCCUCCUGCUCUUUCCUGUUUCUGGACGAGCCUGUCUGAAGAUCUGGGCAUUCAGGUGACACGAGGGGUGUGUGGAGCAGGACAGGACAAAGAACGGAGGGCUUGAGUCAGAGGACCUCCAUUCUUUGUGUGACCUUAUACAGCAGACUUUACUAUCUGGGACUCAGUUUCCUCACCUGUAAUCAGGGGCAAUAAUGCCAGCCCUCUCUCCCUUCCAAAAUCAUCGUGCUGACCAAAAGGGAGAGUGCAUAAGAAAAUGUUUUGUAAAUAAGCAGUAGAAGACUAAUCACAUGUAAAAAAUUAUUAUUGCAAUGGGAGAUGCAGGAGACCAAUAAAAUGGAUUUGGUUACAGUAAGCACAGGCGUUACUUUCUGUUUCUUUCGAGAGAGAGAGAGAGAGAGACCAGCAGCAGCAAGUACUGCCAGGUGCACAGUGUAGUUUUUCCAACUUUGAGAAGCAAAUAACAGAGGGGGCCAACUGGCUCAUCCCAGGAGGCCUGUCUUCACCAAAUGAAUCUGAAACGAUGGCCUGGGGAAUGGCUGCAGGCACAGGCCCAGGAGAGCAGGCCCUGUCCUGCGGGGGAGGGACCCAGGGAGUGCAGGGCCAGCAGAGGUUGUCCACAUGGCCAGGGCCCUGGUCCCUGGACCUCUGCAAUUUGGAGCUUCCUUCAGGCGAAGCCCAGCCAGAUGUGCUCCUCAGGGUCCCAGAUGGCCCAUGAAGGGCAUUGCCCAGCCCCCAGGCCAUGUGCAGAAGCAUCACCUCAGGGUUAGGCAGAGAAGUGACCAUGGUUUCACCAUAGAAUAGGCCAGGCUGGGUUUCUUCAGCUCCCCAGGUGGCCGGCCUUUUUAGUGCUGAGGGCCACGUUGGAUCUGCCAGAACUUCGGGACAGGGUCCAGUGCAGGAGGCUUAGGGAAACUGCUUCCAGUUCUUUUCAGGCCCAUAGACAUGUCCUCCCAAAUGCCUGGCUGGAUAUGAGCCCCUGCAGUCUGUGUGCCAGCCUGGGGACAGUCCUUUCAAAUAGUACCUUUAAGGUGGCCACACUCUUGCCAAAUCUUCCUGGCUAGGGCUAGAGAGGACCUUAGUGAGCAUCUCACCCAGCCCCUUCAUAUUCAGUUGAGGACCCUGGGCCCAGAAAGGGCAAGGACUUGCUCAAGGGGCAGAGCCAGGGAACUUUUCUGAGGAGGCUUGAUGGAACUGGGAGCAGAAGUCAGGUCUUUGGCCUCUCAGCAUCCAUCUCUCCAGAUCCUCCCUCUCUCCCCAUUACUGGUAUUUUCCAGUCUCUUCCCUUUGGCGAUGCUGCCCUCUCACCUCUCUCAGAGCUUCCUCACCAGCCCUGCAAGCUCAGAGGUGUCCACCCGAGACUAAGGUUCGGCUCCCCCAUCUCUGCUCGCUCUGUAGUGGCCAGCUCCAGGAGCCCAGAUACUGUCUCAGAAAAGUCUCCUGGCUAGCGGGGGUGGGGAGAAGCCUAGGUCAGGAGCUGCAGCCAGGUCCAGUUCUGCCACUAAUGGGUGUCAGAGGGCACGGAAAGAAUGCCACCUUUUGAAAAACGACUCUUCCAUUGAGACCCUGUAUUGGAUCUUCUCCCACCCACCUGUGUCCCCUCAGGGCAUUUGUUCUUUCCUUCAACAUUUAUUGUGCAUUCAGCAAAACCUUGGGGAGGGCUUAGACUCUGUGCCAUGCCCUGUGCAUAGUCCCAGAACAGAGAUACUACUGACUCACUCAACCUUACCCUCAGGUGCUCCCAGUCUGAUGGAGGAGACAUCAGAAUGGGCGUUUGCCACCAGUGUGAUCAGCACUAUAAUAGAGGGAAGAACAAGACACUCCGGAGGCUCAAAAGAUGCUGCUUCCCCUCACCCGCUGUCUUAAAAGAUGAGGAGACAUUUCCUAGGCAGACAAAGUAGGGAAAGGCAUCCCAGGAACCUUAUACUAAUAGAAGGUAAGAGAGAUGAUGGGCUGAGGGUAGAGUUCUGGACUGAAUGUGGCUUAGAUCACAGGGUAUGCACGGAUUAGCAGGAGAGAGGCUAGGACAAGGAGGCGGCAGAGGUCGCAUGUGAAGAAGGUUGAAGGCAGGCUAAUGUUUGGACUGGAUCCUGUUUAUGAUGGGGAAGCCAUUGAAAAGUUGUGAGCAGGAGAGAUGUGAUCAAGCGUGCAUUUUUGAAAACCCUUCUGGCGUACAGGGUAGAGGCCAGGGGACUAGAAUUGAGGAGUCUGGAUGUACCAAGUCCAAUCCUACCGUUUUCCUCAUGUCCUGGGCCAUCCGGAGAGGUGGUAGGGGCAGGUCCAGCAUGCCCACGUUCUUUGUGGAGUGCCAGGCCUGGUAUUUCUUUUCCUUACUAGUCCUUACACUUCCCAUCCAUGAACAGGAAGGAUGAAACACCAUCAUAUCUCAGGAGAUUUCUUCCCUAGGUGUACAUCACAAUCAACCACGUAACUUUCUAAAUGGCGAUCAGUUGGGCCCUGUCCCACACUUACUAAAUCAUCCAUUCAUUCCACAAAUAUUUAUCGAUGGGGAAGCCAUUGAAAAGUUGUGAGCGGGGGAGAGAUAUGAUCAAGUGUGCAGGUCCCUCUUCGGUACAAACAGUUUGCACUUGACUGCUAACCCAAAGGUUGGCAGUUUGAACCCACCCAGCAAUACCAUGGAAGGAAAGACCUGGCAGUCUGCUUCUGUUAUGAUUGUGGUGGUUGUUAGUUGCCAUCAAAUUGAUUCCAACUCAUGAUGCUCCCAAGUGCGCAGAGUAGAACUGUACUUCAUAGUAUUUUCAAGGCUAUGAUUUUUCGGCAGCAGAUGGCCAGGUCUUACUUCCAAGAUAUCUCUGGAUAGGUUUGACCUGCCAGUCUUUUGGUUUGUAGGUCAGAGCUUAAUCAUUUGUGCCACCCAGGGAAUAAAAUGACGGUGAAGAAAAGCCUAUGGGGCAGUUCUACUCUGUAACACAUGGGGUGUCCAUGAGUCGGAAUUGACUUGACAGCAACUAACAACUACUACUAUGUGCUGGACAGUGUAAUAGGCAUAUAGCCCCUGCCCUUGUGGAGCUUACAUUCAGAAUCUCUGGAGAGGAGCCCAGAUAUCUGUAUUUAGAAAAGCUCCAGCCUCACCCAGGAACUACUGCUUAAAAGAACUAGCUGAGGAUGCCAAAUGCAAAUGGGAGCAUAGGUGGGCACUGUGGGCUGGGCAACCCAAAGCUUAGCAAUAUCUACAUAGGUUUGACCCUGACAGAAGUCAGAUAGCUUCACAUGGAUUCACAAAGGCAUGGCUCCCCCAGAAGUAUGGGUGCCUCUGAGCAGCCUGCUGCUGGAGCCAUGCUUCAGACCCCUUAGGGCCUGACAGGGGCUCUCUCUCACCCACAGAGAGUCACACCAACAGGAAUGAUCAGAAAUAGCACCAAGGUUCUUGCCCUCCACAAGGAGGCUCCAGUGGAAACAGGCCUUGGGAAUAGUACCAAGGACCCACGUUGCCCAGAGAACCACAGAGUGGUCGAGGACCUGGCCUGAGGUCACACAGCAUGAUGGUCUCCAAACUGGAGUGUCUCCCCCUGCUGGUCCCAGCUGCUUCCUUCUCUAGCCCCGGCACCUUGCCCAAACCUGCUACCACACACUCCACUUUCCCACCCUGUCCUCCCCACCUCUCCAGCUCUAAGGCCAGGAACAUGAUUUCAGAAUGAUGAAACCCAGCUCCUGAGGUCACGCCGGCCUCUUUGCAGUGGCUCUGAUUUUUCACGGCCCCAUUCCCCCCAGUGGGUUGGGGAAGCUGCCAGGCCUUUCGCACAUAUCUGGGGGGAGGUGGAGGGAAUGUGAGAAUGAGGUAACCAGGAGAGCUCACUGGAAGCCAGGUCAAGGGGAAUGUUAUGUUACAGACCAUCUCCUGACCCAGCCUCUUAAUGCAACCCACCGCUAAUGUAAUGCCUUCAUCCCAUCAUCCCACUUAAUCCACACAGCAUCCCCUUUGCACUCAUGCUUUCUGAGUCAACACCACCAAACUGUCUGUACCUCUGUGCCACACACCAUGCUGAUACACAACUCUGGGAGUUUGCUUCUGCUGUUUCCUCUGCUUAUAGUGCUCUUUCCUCCUUCUCCACCCACCUUAUCUGCUUUGCCUGGCUUACUCCUACUCAUCCUUUAAGUCCCUGCUAUGGUAUCACUUUCCCCAGGAAGUCUUCCCUGACCAUGUCCCAACAUGUAGGGCUAUAUAUCCUCUGUGUGCACUCAUAAUAAUCUAUUUUUGAGUUCAUCACAUUGUAUCAUAACUACCUGCUUACAUGUUUGUCUCCCCAUCUAGAAUGGGAGCUUCUCAAAGGCAGAGAUGGGGUUGGGUUUAGGUCUGGCUCAUCUUAGUAUCCCAGGCCCCAGUACAGAGCUGAGCAUAGAAUUUUGGACACCCCUUCUUCCAACGUAGACAGGAAUCUCAGGAGGGAUUUUAGCCCUAAUUUUACAGAGAGAAAACUGAGGCCCAAGAGGAGUUACCUGACCUGUCCAAGGUCCAAAAGUGAGGUAGUAUCAGGACAGGGACUAGAAUCCUGCUCUCCUAGAGCAUAGGCUGGUUCUCUUGUGCUCCAGCCAGCCAAAGGGACCCGCUGAGCCAUAUUGGGGGUACUAGUUUCUAUUGCUGUUGCAACAAAUCACCACAACCUUAGUGGCCUAAAACAACAUAUGUAUUAUCUUACAGUCCUGGAGGUCAGAAGUCCAAAAUGAGGCUCAAUGGGCUGAAAAUCAAGGUGUUGGCUGGGCUGCCUUCCUUUCUGGAUGCUCAAGGAGAGAAUCUAUUCUUUUGCCUUCUUCAGCUUGUAAAGGCUACCCUCAUUCCUUGGCUCAUGGCCUCCUUCCAUCUUGAAAGCCAGCAAUGGCCAGUUGAGUCUGUCUCACAUCACAUCACUCUGACAUGCCCUCUUGUGCCUCCUCUUCAAUUUUUAAGGAUCCUUGUGAUUACACUGAAGGAGCCCUGGUGGUGCAGUGGUUAAAAAGCAUGACUGCUAACCAAAAGGUUGGCAGUUUGAAACCACCAGCAGCUCCACUGGAGAAAGAUGUGGCAAUCUGCUUCCGUGGAAAUUUAGAGCCUUGGAAACCGUACAGGGUCACUGUGAGUCAGAAUUGACUCAGUGGCAGUGGGUUUGAGUUUUUGGUAUGAUUGCAUUGGGUGUAUCAGAGUAAUUCAGGGUAAUCUCCCCAUAUCAAGGGCAGUUGAUCUGUAACCUUAAUCCACCUUUGCCAUGUGACCUAACAUAUUCACAAGUUCCAGGGAUUUGGAAGUGGCCGUCUUUGGGAGGGGGGCAUUAUUAUGUCAACCACACCGGUGGGCAAGGAGGUAAUGGAUCUGUUGAGAGGGUAGAGUGAACAGACUUCCCAAUGUGCCCAGAACUGUCCUGGUUUCAGCCUGUCAUCCAGGGGUAAUUACUGAUAGUACCACCUUUCAUUUUCAAAAAUAUUCUAGUUUGAAGAAUAAAUUAUAUGGUUACCCAAGUCACAGACUAUUAGAGUAGGAGGACCAAGCCCUCAUUCUGCAGAUGAGAAAACUGAGACAAAGAAAGGAAAAGGAGCUUACUCAAUGUCACACAGUUAGUGUUAGAGCUGAGACUAGGACCCAGGUCUUUUGCCAGAAGGCCAGGUUGGUUCCCAAUUCAGACCGAAAUAUUUCUUUCGUCAAGAAGGCUUCCUAGAGAAAGUGGGAGGCACAGUCAUCAGUGAUAAAGAAGAUGGUGAUGCUGAUGACCAUUUAUUAAGUACUUCCUAUGUUGCCAGGCACUGGUAACUAAUGCUGAAUGCUUUGUAUGUAUUAUCUCAUUUGGUCCUCACAAAAAUCGUGGAUCAUCCCCCUUCACAAAUGGGGAAACAGAGAUUUAGAGUGGUUCAAACACCAGUAGGUGUUGAAGCUGGGUUUCAAAUCUCGCUCUUUCUUAUUAUAAAGCUAAUGUUUUUCCUCUGUCCUUAGGGGGUUGCUGGGCUUGGGGAACUGAGAGAACUGGAAACCCUUACUUUGGAGAAACAGGUGCAGCAGCGUUACAGUAGAGAUGGAGAAUGAUGGAGGGGUUGGUGAUUUACUGAGCCUGUGAAUAGGUAUGAGGGUGAGAUGGCUCAGCUAUUCGCAUUUCAUUUCCACUGAUGACUAAAAUUAUGGUCAUAGCAGGAGGAGUUUAUCUAUUUAUUCUAAAAGGUUUACUUAUUUUUUUCAUAUCUACUCAAUGUAAAAUAUUUGGAAAAUACCAAAAGUGAAAAGAAGAUAAUAACAUUAAUGAUAAUUCCAUACACCCGAAGAACCACUGUUAACAUUUUGGCAAAUUCCUUUACAGGGAUUUUUAAAACAUAAAAUAUUUCAACAUAUGAAAAAGCAUAUGAUGAACACCCAUGUCCCCACCAUCCAGCUUAAGAAAUAAAAUGUUAUGUAUAUAAUUGAAAUCCCUCCUAAGUGUUUCCCAAAGUAUUCCCCUCCCUGCUUGACAAGAAGCCCUUCCAGGCUUUUUUUUUCUAUACAUAUUUCUUUUGAUUAGUUGAUGUGGCUGUGAUUUUACAAUUUUGUACCAGGGAGGAGGCUUCAGGAGAGACACCGGGGGAACUUCCUAGUCAGAAAGUUUGUGAGACGCUAAGGUCUAUGACCAAAGAAUGCAGGCAAAGGAAGCCAACUUUAGGGAAUUGUUUGAGUGAAGCCCAAUGAGGAGCCACAGAGGGGUGGAUUGAACCAGAUGACCUUUAAGGUCCCCAACCCUCCCACACAUACUAGUUCCAAAAUUUUUCUUAUGAAAAAAGAAAGCUGCUUUGGAUUGGCCUUCCCACACGUGGCCCAGCAGUGUCACUCCAUCUGCUGGUUCCUGUCCAAGGUGUGCAGCUGUGAACCUGAUUUGUGCAGGCUGCUCCCUGUCCCUCUCCCUGCUGUCUGACCUCCAUGCUCUUCAACCUUCUUGUCUCUCUUCAUCUCUCCCUUUCUUUCUCAGCCUCACUGCCUUGUCUCAUCAGUCCCUUCCCUUGUUAUCUCCAUCUCCUUUCUCUGCUGGUACCUCUUCUCAUCUAUGUCUCUGCUCUUCCUCUAGGUUUUGCUCAGCCAGGCCAAGAAGCUUCCCCCAGGUGCCCCCAGAGGCUCUGCUUCCCAAGAGUUAUAAAGCUCUUCCUAUCUUCCCUACCAGGAGUCCUGGGUGAUGCAAACAGUUAAGUGCUCAACUACAAUCCAAAAGAUUGGCUUUCAGACGCACCCAGAGUUGACUCAGAAUAAAGGCCUGGUGAUCUACUUCCAAAAAAUAAGCCAUUGAAAACCCUAUGGAGAACAUAUUUAGUGCUUCUGGUCUACCUCCUAGUUCAUUGCAUAGUGCCUGGUAUCUUAAAAGCUUGCGAGUGGUCAUCCAAGGUACAACAGUUGGUUUCUAUUUGCCUGGAGCAACAGAAGAAGAAGGAGAGUCAGGAAUAGGAGGAGGAUAUGGAAUGUGUGGCUAAUUGCCUCCAUGAACAUGAGACCAGAAGAACUAGAUGGUACCUGGCUACCAUUACUGAACAUUUUGAUAAAAGAUUCUAUAGAAGAAUCUGGAUCAAAAGGGGGGAAAUGGAGAACAGAAUUUCAGAUUCUCAUGGACUCUGGACUUUCUGGAGCCAAGGGGGCUAGAUGAAUCCCUGAAACUAUUGUCCUGAAAUAAUCUUUAAAGCUUAAACCAAUUGGACCUAAGCAAAAGCAUAGAAGUUUUCUAGGCACAUCCAAACACUUUGAGGGACCGAGUAUCUGGGGCUGGGCCCUGGGGACCAUAGUCUCGGGGGACAUCUAGGUCAAUUGGCAUAACAUAGUUCACAAAGAAAAUGUUCUACAUUCCUACUUUGGUGAGUAGCGUCUGGGGCCUUAAAAGCUUGUGAGUGGCCAUCUAAGAUACAUCUAUUGGUCCCAUCCCGUCUAGAGCAAAAGAGAAUGAAGAAAACCAAAGACACAAGGUAAACAUUAGUCCAGAAGACUAAUGGACUGCAUGUAGCACAGCCUCCAUCAGCCUGAGCCCAGAAGAACUAGAUGGUGCUCUGCUGCAACCACCAACAGCUCUGAUAGGGAUCAUAAUAGAGGAUCCCGGACAGAGCAGGAGAAAAAUGUAGAGCAAAAUUCAAAUUCAUAAAAAGACCAGACUUGCUGGCCUGACAGAGACUGGAAGGACCCCCAAGAUUAUGGCCCCCAGACACCCUACUAACUGAGGACUGAAACCACUGCUGGAGCCUACCAUUGUUCAGCCAAAGAUUAGACAGGCCU